rnacentral:rRNA from 1 species
GGUGACAGGUUGCUGCAUGGCUGUCGUCAGCUCGUGUCGUGAGAUGUUGGGUUAAGUCCCGCAACGAGCGCAACCCUCGCCUUUAGUUGCCAGCAUUCAGUUGGGCACUCUAGAGGGACUGCCGGUGUCAAACCGGAGGAAGGUGGGGAUGACGUCAAGUCCUCAUGGCCUUUAUGUCUAGGGCUACACACGUACUACAAUGGCCGGUACAAAGGGCAGCCACUCAGCGAUGAGGCGCUAAUCCCAUAAAAGCCGGUCUCAGUCCGGAUCGCAGUCUGCAACUCGACUGCGUGAAGUUGGAAUCGCUAGUAAUCGUAGAUCAGCAUGCUACGGUGAAUACGUUCCCGGGCCUU